rnacentral:tRNA from 1 species
GGGGGUACAGCUCGGUGGUAGAGCCUGUGCUUACAAUGUGCGAGGUCCUGGGUUCAAUUCCCAGUAAUUCCA